UUAGAGUACAAUGGCGCGAUCUUGGCUCACUGCAACCUCCGCCUCCCAGAUUCAAGCUAUUCUCCUCCCUCAGCCUCCCAAGUAGUAGCUGAGACUACAGGUGUGCACCACCACACCCAGCUAAUUUCGAAUUUUUACCAGAGAUGGGGUUUCACCAUGUUGGUCAGGCUGGUCUUGAACUCUUGACCUCAAGUGAUCCGCCUGCCUCGGCCUCCCAAAGUGCUGAGAUUAGAGGCGUGAGCCGCCACGCCCAGCCAAAGCAUCAUCAACAGCCUCCCCAUCAGGGAAUUGAACCCCGUCUCCCGCAUGACAGGAUCAUCGGACGAGGAACAGCUGGGCCUGCAGAUUUAUUAGCGUUUUGCAAGUGAUUCCACCCGCUCUUCUAGUCCCAUGUGAGCCCUGCCCCCGCUCCUAUUAGAAGCCUCUGGAAAGCAAAGGAGUUCUUUUUUCAGUGCCCCAAGCCCACUUAGCCGGUGUGAUUUUUGCCUCUCCCACUCCUCACAGCAACUGGGAGCUAGUUAUAUCUCCCCAGAAACCAGGGACCAAAAGAAAAAAAAAGGAAGAAAGAAAUGAAAGGAAGAAAAGAAGGCAAGGCAAGGCGCAGUGGCUCAUGCCUGUAAUUCCAGCACUUUGGAGGGCCAAGGCAGGCAGAUCACCUGAGGUCAAGAGUUCAG
rnacentral:lncRNA from 1 species